rnacentral:rRNA from 1 species
AGGGAUAUUGGUCAAUGGGGGAAACCCUGAACCAGCAACGCCGCGUGAGGGAAGACGGUUUUCGGAUUGUAAACCUCUGUCCUCUGUGAAGAUAAUGACGGUAGCAGAGGAGGAAGCUCCGGCUAACUACGUGCCAGCAGCCGCGGUAAUACGUAGGGAGCAAGCGUUGUCCGGAUUUACUGGGUGUAAAGGGAGCGUAGACGGCGAUGCAAGUCUGAAGUGAAAGGCGGGGGCCCAACCCCCGGACUGCUUUGGAAACUGUAUGGCUGGAGUGCAGGAGAGGUAAGUGGAAUUCCUAGUGUAGCGGUGAAAUGCGUAGAUAUUAGGAGGAACACCAGUGGCGAAGGCGGCUUACUGGACUGUAACUGACGUUGAGGCUCGAAAGCGUGGGGAGCAAACAGG